UUACCGGCUUGACAUGAGUGAAACCUUCGGGACAGGUGCUGCAUGGCUGUCGUCAGCUCGUGCCGUGAGGUGUUGGGUUAAGUCCCGCAACGAGCGCAACCCUGUCAUAGUUGCCAUCAUUUGGGACUCUAUGAGACUGCUGGUGAUAACUGGAGGAAGGUGGGGAUGACGUCAAGUCCUCAUGGCNCUUACGCCGGGCUACACACGUGCUACAAUGGGGUACAUAGGGCACCGCGAGGGGAGCAAUCCCAAAACCGCCUCAGUUCAGAUUGGAGUCUGCAACUCGACUCCAUGAAGGCGGAAUCGCUAGUAAUCGCUAUCAGCAGGAGCGGUGAAUACGAUCCCGGGCCUUGUACACACCGCCCGUCAAGCCACGGAAGCUGGAGACCGAA
rnacentral:rRNA from 1 species